rnacentral:rRNA from 1 species
AUUGAACGCUGGCGGCAGGCCUAACACAUGCAAGUCGAGCGGAUGAAGGGAGCUUGCUCCUGGAUUCAGCGGCGGACGGUUGAGUAAUGCCUAGGAAUCUGCCUGGUAGUGGGGGAUAACGUCCGGAAACGGGCGCUAAUACCGCAUACGUCCUGAGGGAGAAAGUGGGGGAUCUUCGGACCUCACGCUAUCAGAUGAGCCUAGGUCGGAUUAGCUAGUUGGUGGGGUAAAGGCCUACCAAGGCGACGAUCCGUAACUGGUCUGAGAGGAUGAUCAGUCACACUGGAACUGAGACACGGUCCAGACUCCUACGGGAGGCAGCAGUGGGGAAUAUUGGACAAUGGGCGAAAGCCUGAUCCAGCCAUGCCGCGUGUGUGAAGAAGGUCUUCGGAUUGUAAAGCACUUUAAGUUGGGAGGAAGGGCAGUAAGUUAAUACCUUGCUGUUUUGACGUUACCAACAGAAUAAGCACCGGCUAACUUCGUG